GUGUGUAGCUAGGUGGUAGAAUGCUUGCCUAACAUGCAAGAGAUCCUUGGUUCCAUUCCCAGCACCACA
rnacentral:tRNA from 1 species